rnacentral:lncRNA from 1 species
CUGGCUCCCCUACAUGAGUACCAGCCCCUGACAACAGGCCUUUCCCAACUGACCCCCUGCCCUCCAGAGCCCCCUGAGACCCGGGCCCUCCCUCGGAACUUGAGGGCGCAGGGGACCAGGACGGCCGUCUCAACGGUCCCAGUUCUUUUUCCCCACUAUGGAACACAAGACCCUCUGACCUCCUCCUUCGAGCGAAACUGCACACAGAGCAGGGAAGCCCUGCCGCGCUGGGUUCGGAGGAAAGAGGAGGCCGUGGACGGGGAAGAGGUCGGGUUUCGCUCCCUCAGCGCCGCCGCCUGGGCGACUCUUCCACCCCCGGCUCGGGUUCGAAGCGGCGCGGCCCAGAGAAGAGGAAGAAAGACGAAAAGGAACUUUGCCCGUGGUUUCACCCAUGCUGUCAUUUGCAAUCACCUGUGAAACCUAUGAAAACUAUACCUGCCCAGGCUCAGCCUUGGAGAUUCUGAUUCAGUGUGCUCAGGCGGGGCUGGACAUCCAUGUUUGGGAAGAGUUGCGCGGGUGAUUUCGAUGCGUAUAUGACCCUGGUUGAAAACUGCUAACCUGGCAAAUGCCCGCCAGUCUCACAAAGUCCAGCCAAAAUGUUACGGCCUCUGAGAAGCCUUCUGUGAGUGAUGAGCAAUCCCCAUGGCAAUAUUUAUUGAGCACUGACAAAGUGCCAGGACCUGUGUCAGGCACAGGAGUACAUGUUCUUUGCCCAGACUGAGAAAACAGGCAAUAUGUAUGAAAAAUGCUAAUGAUAGAAUAAAAGUGGGGUACUAUGGGAGCCCAUGGGGAGAUACCUUACCCUGUCAGGGAUGUGAUGGGGAAGUCAGGGAAGGCUUCCUGGAGGAGGGGCCAUCUUAGCUGCAUACUGAAGGAUAAAGAGGUGUUAACCAGCCUUGGGUGGGUGGAGAAGAGAGUUCCAGGUAAGUACUCGGGCAUGACAGAUUAGAGGGGAUGAAGUUCAUGCAGGCUUAAGCAUGAGGUCCAAAGAAGUGGGAGAUGCUACAUGAGGCUAGAUAGGUGGCAAGACAAUAUGGCAAAUGUGGGUGAGUUACCUGACUCCUGUAUGUGCACCCAGCCCUUUGCCCACACUGGAAGUGUGUGACAUAUCUCACUUUAGUUGACUCUUUUGAGACUGGGAGCUCAUAGAAAGAAGUCAUGUGUGGAAACUCGGCAGUCAGGGUCAUGCUGCCUUGGGUUUAAAUCCUAAAUCUGCCACCUACCAGCUCUGUGAAGCUGGGAAAUUUCUAAACCCAGAUGGGACAGAUGGGUCAACCUUUCCCAUCUGUCCCAAUGGGAAUGAAAACUCAUACCAAUGUUUGCUAAUCCAAUUAUUUUCUGCUGCAUAUCAAAGCAACCCAAAGGUUUGUGGCUUAAAAUAAUCUAUUGUUAUCUCUCAUGGCUCUGUGAUUUGACUGGGCUCAGCUGGUUGGUUCUCAUUUGGAGUCUCAUGCUGUUGUAGUCAGAAUGCAGCUGGGGAUACAGUCAUCUGAAGGCUCAGCUGGGUUGGACAUCCAAGAUGGCUCUCACAUGGCUGACAGCUGAUGCUGGCAGUUGGCUGGGAGCUCAGUGAGGGCUGUCACUGGAAUGCCCACAUACAGCCUCUCCACACGGCUUGGGCUUCUCAGAACAUGAUAGCUGGGUUCUGAGAGGAAGCAUUGCAGAAUAGGUAUUCCAGGAAGCAAGAAGAAGCUGCCAAGACAGAUAAGGACUACGCCUGGAACUGAACAUCUUUACUCCCUCUGUAUGCUACUAGUCAGGGCCUGCCCACAUUGAAGGGGAUGCUGAAAUAAACUCCACCACUGGAUUAGGAAGGUGCAUGAUGAUAUUGUUGUGAUCAUCUUUGGAAAAUACAAUCUGUAAAGCCUUCUGUGAGGAUUCAAUAAAUUAAGGCAUGGAAAGUCCUCAGCACAGUGCCUGGCACAUACUAAGUCUUCUAAAGUGUGCAGGCUCUUCUUGGCCUUCAUCCUGACAUCCUCAGCACCAAUCACAAUGCCUGGUAUGCAGUAGUGGAGCUUUAUAAUUUUUAAAUUAGACAGGGGGAGACCUGUUUACUACUUCGUUAUGCUUAAUUGCUAUGCAGCCCACAAAUAAUUGUGACUGUCAUUAAACAGGGAAGAUCAACUUCACUCUUCUAUUAAAUUCUUACUCUAAACAUGAAAGCUCAGUCUGCAUUAUCUGUUGAGCAAGCAGAAUAACCGUCUACUUAAAAGUGGGGAACAGGCUGGGUGUGGUGGCUUAUGCCUGUAGUCCCAGCACUUUGGGAGGCCCAGGCAGGUGAAUCACCUGAGGUCAGGAGUUCGAGACCAGCCUGGCCAACAUGGCGAAACCCCACCUCUACUAACAAUAAAAAAUUAGCUGGGCGUGGUGGUGUGCACCUGUAAUCUCAGGUACUCGGGAGGCUGAGACAGGAGAAUUGCUUGAACCCGGGAGGCGGAGGUUGCAGUGAGCCGAGAUCGCGCCACUGCAC